UGACGACAGAGCGGGUGGGCGGUUACUUUAACAGCAUUCUAAAAGAGUGAAGCUACUCGGACCAUCAUGGACAGAGGGCAUACAUCUGUUGCUCAGGAGAUGUAUUGGCUUUCUGCUGGAACUAUGGGUGCUCGAAUAAAAACCCCAAAAUAAUAUUUAUGAGCCUUGGCAGCACCUUUAGUAAGCUGUGAUUCAGCGGGAGGAGGCUCUCUGAGGAGAAGACAAUAACAUUGAGUCACCUUGCUGCAUUGUGAGCCUCUGGCAGCCGAGAGGCAGGACUCCGCAGCAGCAGAGACCAUGCUACAGAGCUGCACUGGACUGCGCAUCAACUAUGUGUGUAUUUGUGUAUGAAUUAGUAUGUAUAAGUGGUUGUGUGUCGUACGGAUGAUGAUAAAUCACAGCAAGGUCAAAUUACAGCAAUUGAGUGGGGAUACCGGAUGAUUACACUGCAGUAUGUAUGACGUUCCAGUGACCCUGUGCUUCAUUUUGCAGACUGGAUGAGGAACAUACAACAAGUUAAUUGAGCACCAAAUUACUUCAAAAUUAAGUACAGCAAUAUCAAUAAUGCAGUGGUAUUAUUGAUUAAAUUCAGACAGUAUUUCUGCACGUUGUAGGUCUCUGCAGGUCUCUGCUUGACCUUACAAUGUAGAACAUUGAUUCCCCAACAUGCAGCAUAGUUUCUUCUCCAGAUCUGUGAUGGUGUUCUCAUAUUUUGACGGUUGUAAUAGGCUAUAGGAUUUUAUGAUUAACACAUUUAAUUUGUUCCUUUACGGUAUAGUGAGUACAAUACACAUGACUGUGAAAUAAAAGGAAAAAACAACAUGUACAU